CUUAGGUUGAUAAAAAUAUAAGCAAUCCUGAGCCAAAUAUUAUUUCGUUUAAAAAUAAGAUAGGUGCAGAGACUCAAUGGAAGCUAUCCUAACGAAUAAUAUUUUCAAAAUUAUUUAAAAUUUAUUUUUUGGAUAUUUGAUAUUAGGCGAGGAUAAAGAUAGAGUCCAAUUUUAUAUGUUAAUUUUAGCAACAAUUUAAAUUGUAGUAGAAAGAAAAUCCGUUGGCUUUAUUGACCGUGAGGGUUCAAGUCCCUCUACCCCC
rnacentral:tRNA from 1 species